AACCUGGUUGAUCCUGCCAGUAGCAUAUGCUUACCUUGGAGAUUAAGCCAUGCAUGUCUAAGUAUAAGUUAUAUACAGCGAAACCGCGAAUGGCUCAUUAAAACAGUUAUAGUUUAUUUGAUGAUGGAAAUUUACAUGGAUAACCGUGGGAAACCAGAGCUAAUACAUGCAUUAAUGUCCGCAAGGACUGUAUUUAUUAGUUUAAGCCAUUACCUUUUAGGUUUUGAUGAAUCAUAAUAACUGAUCGGAGCGCCUUUGUGUGUGCUGGAUCAUUCAAGUUUCUGCCCUAUCAGCUUUCGAUGGUAGUGUAUUGGACUACCAUGGCUAUCACGGGUAACGGAGAAUUAGGGUUCGAUUCCGGAGAGGGAGCCUGAGAAACGGCUACCACGACUACGGCAGGCAGCAGGCGCGUAAAUUACCCAAUCCUGACUAAGGGAGGUAGUUACAAGGAAUAAUGAACCGGAGUUUAAUUAUUCUAGUAUUGCAAUGGGUUCAAUCUAAACCUUUGUUCGAAGUCAAUUGGAGGACAAGUCUGGUGCCAGCACCCGCGGUAAUUCCAGCUCCAAUAGUGUAUCUUAAUGUUGUUGCAGUUAAAAAGCUCGUAGUUGAAAUUCUAGGCUAAUGUUAAUGCGUCUAGGCGUAUUUUACUUGGUCUAUCCGCUUGCUAAACUUUUCGGGUUCUCUGAAUUCUGGAUUGCGGAUCAAGCAUUUUACUUUGAAGAAAUUAGAGUGUUUCAAGCAGGCUUAUCGCUUGAAUACAACAGCAUGGAAUAAUAGAAUAGGACCGUUUUCAUUUUAUUGGUUCAUUGAGAAUGGUAAUGAUUAACAGGAACAGUUGGGGGCAUUCGUAUUUAUCAGCCAGAGGUGAAAUUCGAUGACUUGAUAAAGACGAACUAAUGCGAAAGCAUUUGCCAAGGAUGUUUUCAUUAAUCAAGAACGAAAGUUAGGGGAUCAAAGACGAUUAGAUACCGUCGUAGUCCUAACUAUAAACUAUGCCGACUAGGGAUUAGCGGGGUAGACCUCGUUAGCACCUAAUGAGAAAUCAAAGUCUUUGGGUUCUGGGGGGAGUAUGGUCGCAAGGCUGAAACUUAAAGGAAUUGACGGAAGGGCACACCAGGAGUGGAGCCUGCGGCUUAAUUUGAUUCAACACGGGGAAACUUACCAGGGCAAGACCUUUGUAUGAUUGACAGAUUGAUGGUUCUUUCUUGAUUGGAGGGAUGGUGGUGCAUGGCCGUUCUUAGUUGGUGGAGUGAUUUGUCAGGUUAAUUCCCUUAACGAACGAGACCUUAACCUGCUAAAUAGGCGUGGUUAAAACUUAGCCGUGGCCUUCUUAGAGGGACUAUGGAUGCAAAUCUAUGGAAGUUUGAGGCAAUAACAGGUCCGUGAUGCCCUUAGAUGUCCUGGGCCGCACGCGCGCUACACUGACACACGCAGCGAGUUUUAUCCUAACCUGAAAAGGGAUGGGUAACCUCUAUAAUAUGUGUCGUGCUAGGGAUUGAUCUUUGCAAUUGUGGAUCAUGAACGAGGAAUUCCUAGUAGGCAUAAGUCAUCAGCUUAUGCCGAUUACGUCCCUGCCCUUUGUACACACCGCCCGUCGCUCCUACCGAUUUUGAGUGAUCCGGUGAACUUUCUGGACUAGUCAUCACUGAUACGGAAGUUAAGUAAACCUUAUCACUUAGAGGAAGGAGAAGUCGUAACAAGGUAUCCGUAGGUGAACCUGCAGAAGGAUCA
rnacentral:rRNA from 1 species